UGGGUGCUUAACUAUUUUUCAUCUCAAAAUUGCUACUAAGACUGGGUGCUCAGUUAAUAUAUUUGUAUAAAUUUUCUAGUUUUUAUAAUAAAUAAUAAUGUUUGGUUCUGUAAGUAAUCACCCAUAACUUAUAAUGUAGAUCCGCCUACGAUCCCAAGAUGUCUUAUAAAUCACAACAGUAACAUCGUGCACCAUAUGUAUUGCCUAACUUCAUGAUAUUUGUAAGUUUUUCUGUUCAGUCAAAUCAAUUAAACUCGAACUGAAAAAGUGUUCAUGACAUGGAACAUAUCAUUUCUCAAAUGGCAGAAGAACUUAUUAGUGAAACAGCUCUC
rnacentral:lncRNA from 1 species